rnacentral:rRNA from 1 species
AAGCGAAGCCGCGAGGAGAGCAAAUCUCAAAAAAACAAUCUCAGUUCAGACUGCAGGCUGCAACUCGCCUGCACGAAGUCGGAAUUGCUAGUAAUCGUAGGUCAGCAUACUACGGUGAAUACGUUCCCGGGCCUUGUACACACCGCCCGUCAAACCAUGAGAGUUGGCAACACCCGAAGUCGGUAGUCUAACCGCAAGGAGGACGCCGCCGAAGGUGGGGUUGAUGAUUAGGGUUAAGUCGUAACAAGGUAGC